GUGCUCGCUUCGGCAACACAUGUACUACUAGUAAAUUGGAAUGAUACAGAGAAGAUUAGCAAGGAUGACACGCAAAUUCGUGAAGCGUUUCUUCCAUAGUUUU
ensembl:snRNA U6 U6 spliceosomal RNA